rnacentral:rRNA from 1 species
GACGAACGCUGGCGGCGUGCUUAACACAUGCAAGUCGAACGGAAAGGCCCUGCUUUUGUGGGGUGCUCGAGUGGCGAACGGGUGAGUAACACGUGAGUAACCUGCCCUUGACUUUGGGAUAACUUCAGGAAACUGGGGCUAAUACCGGAUAGGAGCUCCUGCUGCAUGGUGGGGGUUGGAAAGUUUCGGCGGUUGGGGAUGGACUCGCGGCUUAUCAGCUUGUUGGUGGGGUAGUGGCUUACCAAGGCUUUGACGGGUAGCCGGCCUGAGAGGGUGACCGGCCACAUUGGGACUGGGAUACGGCCCAGACUCCUACGGGAGGCAGAGGUGGGAAUAUUGCACAAUGGGCGGAAGCCUGAUGCAGCAACGCCGCGUGCGGGAUGACGGCCGUCGGGUUGUAAACCGCUUUCGCCUGUGACGAAGCGUGAGUGACGGUAAUGGGUAAAGAAGCACCGGCUAACUACGUG